GGUUGUCCCCUGUUGAGCGAAAGAUGUGCAGAUAAAGAGGGUCAGGAUUGGCGUCUUAUUUCUCACAUCCCAAAUGUUGAAGUUGAUGGCAAGAGAAUUCAAUGGGAGGGCUGCUAUCUACUAGAGGACGAAGAAAAAUCUUCUACCACAUCUGAAAAUUGAAAUGAUAAGUUAUGAAGAUUAAUUGCUGCCUCCUUCUUGAAAAACGUGUAUGAAGUUCUGGAGGGGAACUUCUAACUCAUUGACUCUAUCGGCAGUGGACAGCAGUAAAAACACAAGAAAUACAAUUAAGUUGCAGAAGGAAUGCUGGUUAUAGAACAAGACAAGAUAUGAGAAACUCCGGAACUGCAAUUACAACCUCGCCGCUAUUCCAAAUGUGUUAGAAGCGGAAAAUAUUUAGUGAAUCUCUGUGGAAGUGUUCUGGUUGCAACUUUGGUUUCUGCGAUACGCAUUGGCAGGAGGUUCUGUGGUUAACUUUCUUCCCUCACAAUUCUUCAGCAGUUAACCAUUUUGGGAAUGGAGUCUU